GAGAAAGACAUAGUGGCUAUGGGGUUGGCUUGAAACCAGUCUUUGGGGGUUCGAAUCCUUCCUUUCUUA
rnacentral:tRNA from 1 species